GCCAGACUCCUACGGGAGGCAGCAGUGGGGAAUAUUGGACAAUGGGGGGAACCCUGAUCCAGCGACGCCGCGUGAGUGAAGAAGUAUUUCGGUAUGUAAAGCUCUAUCAGCAGGGAAGAAAGAAAUGACGGUACCUGACUAAGAAGCCCCGGCUAACUACGUGCCAGCAGCCGCGGUAAUACGUAGGGGGCAAGCGUUAUCCGGAUUCACUGGGUGUAAAGGGAGCGUAGACGGCGACGCAAGUCUGGAGUGAAAGCCCGGGGCCCAACCCCGGGACUGCUCUGGAAACUGCGUCGCUGGAGUACGGGAGGGGCAGGCGGAAUUCCUGGUGUAGCAGUGAAAUGCGUAGAUAUCAGGAGGAACACCAGUGGCGAAGGCGGCCUGCUGGACGAUAACUGACGUUGAGGCUCGAAAGCGUGGGGAGCAAACAGGAUUAGAUACCCUAGUA
rnacentral:rRNA from 1 species